CUCCUUUACUGUGUUAACCUCUACCACUUCAGCUGGAAGGCUAUUCCAUGCAUCCACUACCCUCUCAGUAAAGUAAUACUUCCUGAUAUUAUUUUUAAACCUUUGUCCCUCUAAUUUAAGACUACGUCCUCUUGUUGUGGUAGUUUUUCUUCUUUUAAAUAUAGUCUCCUCCUUUACUGUGUUGAUUCCCUUUAUAUAUUUAAAUGUUUCUAUCAUAUCCCCC